rnacentral:misc_RNA from 1 species
AAAUUAUAAUUCCGGACCAGCCCCCAACACUGGGUCCCACAUCAAAUGUGAGUGGACCAACACGUGUAAUAACAUUUCCUAUUGGACCUUUGAUUAGUAUGGUUAUUAUUUUCAACAUGUAGAUUCAAGAUACAAUCCACCACUGGAAACUGUGAAGACAGUAUGCACAUGUACCUAGACAACUGAAUCAAUUUCUAAUUUUCUAUUGUUAAAUUUAGUCUGUUAGUUUGAUAUUAUUAUUUGUUGCAAAAAUGUCA